rnacentral:rRNA from 1 species
UACAGAGGUCUCAAGCGUUGUUCGGAUUCAUUGGGCGUAAAGGGUGCGUAGGUGGCGCCCGUAAGUCAGGUGUGAAAUCUCGGGGCUCAACCCCCGAAACUGCACUUGAUACUGCGGUGCUCGAGUACUGGAGAGGAGAUUGGAAUUACGGUGUAGCAGUGAAAUGCGUAGAUAUCGUAAGGAAGACCAGUGGCGAAGGCGAAUCUCUGGACAGCUACUGAC